ACGGGAGGCAGCAGUGAGGAAUAUUGGUCAAUGGACGGAAGUCUGAACCAGCCAAGUCGCGUGAAGGAUGAAGGUAUUAUGUAUUGUAAACUUCUUUAGCAGUGGAGUAAUAAGGGGAUCGCGAUCCCUGAUGCAAGUACACUGAGAAUAAGGAUCGGCUAACUCCGUGCCAGCAGCCGCGGUAAUACGGAGGAUCCGAGCGUUAUCCGGAUUUAUUGGGUUUAAAGGGUGCGCAGGCGGAGGAUUAAGUCAGCGGUGAAAUUUUCAUGCUCAACAUGAAAACUGCCAUUGAUACUGGUCCCCUUGAGAGAUGUCGAGGAUGGCGGAAUGUGAUGUGUAGCGGUGAAAUGCUUAGAUAUGUCACAGAACACCGAUUGCGAAGGCAGCUGUCCAGAGAUCAUCUGACGCUCAGGCACGAAAGCAUGGGUAUCAAACAGGAUUAGAUACCCUGGUA
rnacentral:rRNA from 1 species